rnacentral:misc_RNA from 1 species
CCCUGACCAAAACAGACCGCGCACGCGUCAUCCAGCCUGUCGGCGGCGACAUCGUUCGUCGCUCGGCCAAGUCCUCGAYUCCUCCUCUCCUCGGAGCGGGGGAUCGGGGUAAAAGAACCCACGACGCCUAAGGCGUCAAGGAACACUGUGCCUAGCUCGGGGACGCGGACGGCUUGCUGGCCGCCCCUCGUGCUGCAAUGCUAUUUAAUCCACACGACUCUCGGCAACGGAUAUCUCGGCUCUCGCAUCGAUGAAGAACGUAGCGAAAUGCGAUACCUGGUGUGAAUUGCAGAAUCCCGCGAACCAUCGAGUCUUUGAACGCAAGUUGCGCCCGAGGCCAUUCGGCYGAGGGCACGCCUGCCUGGGCGUCACGCAAAACACGCUCCCACCCCCUCAUCGGGGAGCGGGAYGCGGCAUCUGGCCCCCCGUCGCGCAAGGGGCGGUGGGCCGAAGAUAUGGCUGCCGGUGUAUCGUGCCGGACACAGCGCAUGGUGGGCGACCUCGCUUUACUUGCGCAGUGCAUCCGGCACGUAGCCGACGUGGUUGCCUUGAAGGACCCUAUGAACGGUGCGCANGANGCUCCGACC